UAGAGUUUGAUCCUGGCUCAGGAUGAACGCUGGCGGCGUGCCUAAUACAUGCAAGUCGAGCGAACGGACGAGAGUGCUUGCACUCUCUGAUGUUAGCGGCGGACGGGUGAGUAACACGUGGGUAACCUACCUAUAAGACUGGGAUAACUUCGGGAAACCGGAGCUAAUACCGGAUAAUAUUUAGCUUCGCAUGAAGCAAUAGUGAAAGACGGUUCUGCUGUCACUUAUAGAUGGACCCGCGGUGUAUUAGCUAGUUGGUGAGGUAACGGCUCACCAAGGCAACGAUACAUAGCCGACCUGAGAGGGUGAUCGGCCACACUGGGACUGAGACACGGCCCAGACUCCUACGGGAGGCAGCAGUAGGGAAUCUUCCGCAAUGGACGAAAGUCUGACGGAGCAACGCCGCGUGAGUGAAGAAGGUUUUCGGAUCGUAAACUCUGUUGU
rnacentral:rRNA from 1 species